rnacentral:lncRNA from 1 species
UAGUGUAGGGAUACUGAGAUGAGAGUAUGGGUGGCUGUUAGAAAAUAACUUACACUAAGCAUGACCAAGAUGAGAAACUACUUGGAUGUCUAAUCACUCGUCAGUGAUUAUCUCGAUGCUGUAGUGAUGUGAGCGGUCCUUUGAUCUGUAGUGUCAUCAGCUAUUCGUACUGAGGUUACUUAGUUUGACUACAUAUUUCUUUGAUCUUUAGCCAUUCAGAUCCUUACUGUAUAUGUUGGCUACAGUAGGUUCAGAUUCGUUAUUAGGAGUAAGAUGCACCUAGAAAGAAUCUAUCGAUCUUAGUAGAAAAGGAGAAGUCCUAUGUGAUUUGCGAGACUGAGUUUAGAAAGUCUUCAGUUAAAGCAAGUGUGAAUACUGGAAAGAUAUUUUCAUGGGAUUCAUAAGUGAACUUGAGUCUAGCCAAUCUACCAUAUGACUGAUGAUGGGGUCUGACGAGUUCUCCAUGACCUCCGUCAAGUCGGGACUCACGAUAGAAGGACUGAAUCAUAUGAUAAUUGCACCUAGAGGUUCAUACUUUCAUUCUACUAGAUUGUCACUAUAUACUG